rnacentral:rRNA from 1 species
GACGAACGCUGCGUUGCGUGCUUAACACAUGCAAGUCGAACGGAAAGGCCCUGCUUUUGUGGGGUGCUCGAGUGGCGAACGGGUGAGUAACACGUGAGUAACCUGCCCUUGACUUUGGGAUAACUUCAGGAAACUGGGGCUAAUACCGGAUAGGAGCUCCUGCUGCAUGGUGGGGGUUGGAAAGUUUCGGCGGUUGGGGAUGGACCCGCGGCUUAUCAGCUUGUUGGUGGGGUAGUGGCUUACCAAGGCUUUGACGGGUAGCCGGCCUGAGAGGGUGACCGGCCACAUUGGGACUGAGAUACGGCCCAGACUCCUACGGGAGGCAGCAGUGGGGAAUAUUGCACAAUGGGCGGAAGCCUGAUGCAGCAACGCCGCGUGCGGGAUGACGGCCUUCGGGUUGUAAACCGCUUUCGCCUGUGACGAAGCGUGAGUGACGGUAAUGGGUAAAGAAGCACCGGCUAACUACGUGCCAGCAGCCGCGGUGAUACGUAGGGUGCGAGCGUUGUCCGGAUUUAUUGGGCGUAAAGGGCUCGUAGGUGGUUGAUCGCGUCGGAAGUGUAAUCUUGGGGCUUAACCCUGAGCGUGCUUUCGAUACGGGUUGACUUGAGGAAGGUAGGGGAGAAUGGAAUUCCUGGUGGAGCGGUGGAAUGCGCAGAUAUCAGGAGGAACACCAGUGGCGAAGGCGGUUCUCUGGGCCUUUCCUGACGCUGAGGAGCGAAAGCGUGGGGAGCGAACAGGCUUAGAUACCCUGGUAGUCCACGCUGUAAACGGUGGGUACUAGGUGUGGGGUCCAUUCCACGGGUUCCGUGCCGUAGCUAACGCUUUAAGUACCCCGCCUGGGGAGUACGGCCGCAAGGCUAAAACUCAAAGGAAUUGACGGGGCCCCGCACAAGCGGCGGAGCAUGCGGAUUAAUUCGAUGCAACGCGUAGAACCUUACCUGGGUUUGACAUGGAUCGGGAGUGCUCAGAGAUGGGUGUGCCUCUUUUGGGGUCGGUUCACAGGUGGUGCAUGCCUGUCGUCAGCUCGUGUCGUGAGAUGUUGGGUUAAGUCCCGCAACGAGCGCAACCCUUGUUCACUGUUGCCAGCACGUUAUGGUGGGGACUCAGUGGAGACCGCCGGGGUCAACUCGGAGGAAGGUGGGGAUGACGUCAAGUCCUCAUGCCCCUUAUGUCCAGGGCUUCACGCAUGCUACAAUGGCUGGUACAGAGAGUGGCGAGCCUGUGAGGGUGAGCGAAUCUCGGAAAGCCGGUCUCAGUUCGGAUUGGGGUCUGCAACUCGACCUCAUGAAGUCGGAGUCGCUAGUAAUCGCAGAUCAGCAACGCUGCGGUGAAUACGUUCCCGGG